UAGAGUUUGAUCCUGGCUCAGAUUGAACGCUGGCGGCAGGCCUAACACAUGCAAGUCGAACGGUAGCACAGAGAGCUUGCUCUCGGGUGACGAGUGGCGGACGGGUGAGUAAUGUCUGGGAAACUGCCUGAUGGAGGGGGAUAACUACUGGAAACGGUAGCUAAUACCGCAUAAUGUCGCAAGACCAAAGAGGGGGACCUUCGGGCCUCUUGCCAUCGGAUGUGCCCAGAUGGGAUUAGCUUGUUGGUGAGGUAACGGCUCACCAAGGCGACGAUCCCUAGCUGGUCUGAGAGGAUGACCAGCCACACUGGAACUGAGACACGGUCCAGACUCCUACGGGAGGCAGCAGUGGGGAAUAUUGCACAAUGGGCGCAAGCCUGAUGCAGCCAUGCCGCGUGUAUGAAGAAGGCCUUCGGGUUGUAAAGUACUUUCAGCGAGGAGGAAGGCGGUAAGGUUAAUAACCUUAUCGAUUGACGUUACUCGCAGAAGAAGCACCGGCUAACUCCGUGCCAGCAGCCGCGGUAAUACGGAGGGUGCAAGCGUUAAUCGGAAUUACUGGGCGUAAAGCGCACGCAGGCGGUCUGUCAAGUCGGAUGUGAAAUCCCCGGGCUCAACCUGGGAACUGCAUUCGAAACUGGCAGGCUAGAGUCUUGUAGAGGGGGGUAGAAUUCCAGGUGUAGCGGUGAAAUGCGUAGAGAUCUGGAGGAAUACCGGGUGGCGAAUGCGGCCCCCUGGACAAAGACUGACGCUCAGUGCGAAGCGUGGGGAGCAACAGGAUUAGAUACCCUGGUAGUCCACGCCGUAAACGAUGUCGACUUGGAGGUGUGCCCUUGGAGCGUGCCUUCAGAGCUUACGCGUAGUCGACGCCUUGGCGAGUACGGACGCAGGCUCGACUCAAAUGACUUGA
rnacentral:rRNA from 1 species